CCUGGUUUGCUGGUUAGUAGAAUGGCAGGAGGAGGCUCAGUCAUCUGACACAUAUCUGAGGAGUCACCACUAAAUGCCAGGACCCGUGUCAGGCACUGGGGAGAGUCUCACUUUUGCUAGUAAAGAAGGCACUCUUGUCACAUGGUCCACAGCCAUGAGCUGCUGGGUCUCAGUGAAGCUGGAAGCAGCCUGUAAAGCCCAGGUCUAUCGAGGGGAACAGCUGAGCUCGCUGCAGAGACCCGGGAAAGACACUGCAGUGACCGCGGAGUUCGGCUGCCGUAGAGCCUCUUAGUAGAGCUUGGCUAACACUGUGUCAUCGUCCCCCAAACGGCCUGGGAGCCUCAGAAAUGGCUCUGCCUGUACCAUAGAGGGGUACGCUGAGGCUAAGAAGGGCUAAAUGACUUCCAGGAAACUGGCCAAUUCCACAGAGCUGGGGCAGAGGAAACAGAGCCCUGAGCCUCCUUGCCCUCCCCUCAGAGGAGGUGGCCAGAAAAAAUGGGGAAGUGGCAUGCUGUGCCUUAGCUGGGAAGAUG